CCCAAAAGAUGUAGUAAAAGCUCAGCUUCCUCCAGCUUCCAUAACCCCUGAAGUGUUAAUCUGGAGGAACAGUUCCAUGAGUUUCCACAGGCCAGCAGUGUGUCUCCUACACUUGACCUAGACAGCCUUACAUAACGAAGCACCAGUGCUGGGGAGCUCUCUGAAUGUCAUCACCAGCAAGAGCAAGAAGUAUUGGCAGCAGCAGGCAGCCAGGCAGGCUGGGAGUUUGCAUGGAAAUCAUGAAGUCUUUCUUGUCUUCCUCUUUUGAAAUAUUUUGGAAGGAGAGUUAAGAAUAGCUCAGAAACUGGUCUCAUUCUUUUUGUGGGAAGAAUGACCAGAAGCAUAAAAGCUAAGUCUUCCAGCAAGUGCAAGACACCUCUUUCAGUGUUUGCAGUAAACCUAACAAGAGUGAAUUGCUAUCAGUAAAGUCCUGUACCACGACACCCAGAAUGAAGGAACUGGUAAAGCAAAGUAAUAACUCAAAGACCAUCACCGAGGGCUUUUGUCUACCUUUAACUCAUUGUGGAACUUGACAUCAUCAGACAGUAUAUCAAGAGGUACUGACAACUGAGGCUGAAUGAUAGUCCCUGCCUAGGAUUUGGAAUCUUUGCAUGAAGCAGGACUCUAGCCACCAGCGAGAAAGAAGUCAGGGAGACUGUUGUCUCUAGGAAACACUUCCAGGAAACAGGAAUUCAGGCAAAGUUGGACAUCCCAAAGAUGGCGUAGAUGAACAUGACCAGGAAAAGCAAGAGGCCGAUGUUAAACAAUGCAGGAAGGGACAUCAUCAAAGCAAAGAGCAGCGUGCGGAUCCCCUUUGCUCCUUUGACUAGACGUAAGAUUCGCCCAAUCCUGGCAAGACGGAUCACUCGGAACAGGGUAGGGGACACAAAAUAUGUUUCAAUCAAAUCAGCUAGAAACAUACCUACGUGUGGAGGAAAAUAAUAGAAAUAAAAUAUCUAAAUAUCUAUGCUAC